rnacentral:rRNA from 1 species
ACUUCCUACGGGAGGCAGCAGUGGGGAAUAUUGGACAAUGGGGGCAACCCUGAUCCAGCCAUGCCGCGUGAGUGAAGAAGGCCCUAGGGUCGUAAAGCUCUUUCAACUGUGAAGAUAAUGACGGUAGCAGUAGAAGAAACCCCGGCUAACUCCGUGCCAGCAGCCGCGGUAAUACGGAGGGGGUUAGCGUUGUUCGGAAUUACUGGGCGUAAAAGCGCACGUAGGCGGACUAUUAAGUUAGAGGUGAAAAUCCCAGGGCUCAACCCUGGAACUGCCUUUAAUACUGGUAGUCUUGAGUUCGAGAGAGGUGAGUGGAAUUCCGAGUGUAGAGGUGAAAUUCGUAGAUAUUCGGAGGAACACCAGUGGCGAAGGCGGCUCACUGGCUCGAUACUGACGCUGAGGUGCGAAAGUGUGGGGAGCAAAACAGGAUUAGAUACCCUGGUAGGAUAGCG